rnacentral:rRNA from 1 species
GACGGAGGAUGCAAGCGGUAUUCGGAAUCAUUGGGCGUAAAGAGCGUGUGGGCGGGCGGGCAAGUCAGAGGUGAAAGCCCAGGGCUCAACCCUGGAAGGGCCUUUGAAACUGCUUGGCUUGAGUCCGGGAGAGGGAAGCGGAAUUCCUGGUGUAGCGGUGAAAUUCGUAGAUAUCAGGAGGAACACCGGUGGCGAAGGCGGCUUCCUGGACCGACACUGACGCUGAGACGCGAAAGCGUGGGGAGCAAACAGG